GACGAACGCUGGCGGCGUGCUUAACACAUGCAAGUCGAACGGAAAGGCCCUUCGGGGUACUCGAGUGGCGAACGGGUGAGUAACACGUGGGUGAUCUGCCCUGCACUUUGGGAUAAGCCUGGGAAACUGGGUCUAAUACCGAAUAGGACCACGCGCUUCAUGGUGUGUGGUGGAAAGCUUUUGCGGUGUGGGAUGGGCCCGCGGCCUAUCAGCUUGUUGGUGAGGUAAUGGCCUACCAAGGCGACGACGGGUAGCCGGCCUGAGAGGGUGACCGGCCACACUGGGACUGAGAUACGGCCCAGACUCCUACGGGAGGCAGCAGUGGGGAAUAUUGCACAAUGGGCGCAAGCCUGAUGCAGCGACGCCGCGUGAGGGAUGACGGCCUUCGGGUUGUAAACCUCUUUCAAUAGGGACGAAGCGCAAGUGACGGUACCUAUAGAAGAAGCACCGGCCAACUACGUG
rnacentral:rRNA from 1 species